ACGGGAGGCAGCAGCUAAGAAUAUUCCGCAAUGGACGAAAGUCUGACGGAGCGACGCCGCGUGGAUGAUGAAGGUCGGAAGAUUGUAAAAUCCUUUUAUGACUGAGGAAUAAGUGAAGUGAGAGAAACGCUUCAUGGUGACUGUAGGUCAUGAAUAAGCAACGGCUAAUUACGUGCCAGCAGCCGCGGUAACACGUAAGUUGCGAGCGUUGUUCGGAAUUAUUGGGCGUAAAGGGCAUGUAGGCGGUUUUGCAAGCUUGGUGUGAAAUCCCGGAGCUCAACUCCGGAAUUGCGUUGAGAACUGCAUAACUAGAGUCACUGAGGGGCAAUCAGAAUUCCAGGUGUAGGGGUGAAAUCUGUAGAUAUCUGGAAGAAUACCAAUGGCGAAGGCAGCCUGCCAGCAGAUGACUGACGCUGAGGUGCGAAGGUGCGGGGAGCAAACAGGAUUAGAUACCCUGGUA
rnacentral:rRNA from 1 species